UACGGAGGGGGCAAGCGUUAUCCGGAUUUACUUGGUGUAAAGGGAGCGUAGACGGCAGCGCAAGUCUGGAGUGAAAUGCCGGGGCCCAACCCCGGAACUGCUUUGGAAACUGUGCAGCUCGAGUGCAGGAGAGGUAAGCGGAAUUCCUAGUGUAGCGGUGAAAUGCGUAGAUAUUAGGAGGAACACCAGUGGCGAAGGCGGCUUACUGGACUGUAACUGACGUUGAGGCUCGAAAGCGUGGGGAGCAAACGGG
rnacentral:rRNA from 1 species